rnacentral:lncRNA from 1 species
CUUACCUUCUGGGACCCCCUCUCUGACCUGAUAGAAGUUGUUUAAACACAAUUACGGUAUUUAAAUAACACCUCAUGAACAGUAUUCAUAGAAUUACAUAUUGUUUUAAAUUGAAAGAAACUUUAAUGAUCAUCCAGUCCCAACCUCAUGCUGUGGACAGGGCUGCCACCCACCAGCUGAGGCUCCCCGCAGCUCAUCCAGCUGUGGCCUUGAACGCCUCCAGGGUUAGGGUAUCCAGAACUUCUCUGGGCAACCUGUUACAGUGCCUCACAGCCUUCUGAGUAAAGAAUUUCUUCCUUGAAUCUUCAAAUUUGGAGGUAAUCAUGAAUUUAAGCACAAGAAAAUUCUCAUGUAGAGAUGGAUCAUUAAAAAGUUUGGCUGAAGAUCUGGCCCGUAGCCAACAGUGCAUGGAUAAGAGGACUGAAGAGCUCUCUACAAUUCACAUCACUCACUCCAGUCAUGCAUCUAGACAGCACUCUGAACUGCUUGCUGUAAAUUACACACCUGGAGUACUGUUCCACUCUGAUAAGCUCUGCCCUCUCCCCUUCUCAGCUUUGUGGAAGAGGUACAGUUAAUCCAACUGAACGAUUGCAAGUGAUGCUUAUUAUUCGGCAGAUCUUGAUUUGCAAUGCACUGAGCCAUCUAUCUUUUGCUGCAGCUACAAGAAUAACGUGCUAUGGAAUCUAUCACAGCCCAACAAUUCCACAAUUGAUUUGCUGGCAGCUGAGCCCUGGGGCUUGGAAUGUAAAUAAGACUCAGAAUAAAAGUGACGUGCACUGCAGCAGUUGACAGUGAGUGCAG